UCUCCGUAGGUGAACCUGCGGAGGGAUCAUUACUGAGUUUUUAACUCUCCAAACCAUGUGAACUUACCACUGUUGCCUCGGUGGUUAGUGCUCUCCUUCGGGGGGGUGCUGCCGCCGGUGGACUACUAAAAAUUCUAGCUGUUUUUGUACCAUCUGAGUCUUCCACAAAUAAACAAAACUUUCAACAACGGAUCUCUUGGUUCUG
rnacentral:misc_RNA from 1 species